UUUUCUACACGAACCAAGGAGUCUAUCUAGUAUGCGAGUAAAUGGAUAAAUUGUGAAAUCUAUUUGCGCAAUAAACUUGACUGUUCAAUGGGAAUACGAGAAUGGAUGCCUUAUCGGUGUCUCUCUCUUCCAUCCCGGGGUAUUUUCAUCAACAUAUGCUUGCAUAUGGAAAAUAUACCAUGAGCACACUGGAUACGACCCGAAAGAUGGUGAACUAUGCCUGAUCAGGUCGAAGUCAGGGGAAACCCUGAUGGAGGAUCGAAGCAGUUCUGACGUGCAAAUCGAUUGUCAGAAUUGGGCAUAGGGGCGAAAGACCAAUCGAACCAUCUAGUAGCUGGUUCCUUCCGAAGUUUCCCUCAGGAUAGCUGGAGCAUAGAAGAGUUGUAUUGCUAACUCAUACCUGGUAAAGCGAAUGAUUAGAGGCCUUAGGAACGAAAUGUUCUUAACCUAUUCUCAAACUUUAAAUGGGUAUGUAAGUCAACAUACUUGACUGAUGUUGACCUUUAGUCGUGCUUGCGCGACACGUAAGAUUGUAUGCGCCCAGUGGGCCAAGUUUUGGUAAGCAGAACUGGUGCUGCGGGAUGAACCGAACGCAUUGUUAAGGCGCCCAAAUAAACGACGCAUCAUCGAUACCAUGAAAGGUGUUGAUUGCUGAAGACAGCAGGACGGUGGACAUGGAAGUUGUCAUC
rnacentral:rRNA from 1 species